UACAGAGGGUGCGAGCGUUAAUCGGAAUUACUGGGCGUAAAGCGCGCGUAGGCGGCUUUGCAAGUCGAGUGUGAAAUCCCCAGGCUUAACCUGGGAACUGCAUUCGAGACUGCAUAGCUAGAGUAUGGGAGAGGGAAGUGGAAUUUCAGGUGUAGCGGUGAAAUGCGUAGAUAUCUGAAGGAACAUCAGUGGCGAAGGCGGCUCUCUGGACUCAAACUGACGCUGAGGCACGAAAGCGUGGGUAGCGAACAGG
rnacentral:rRNA from 1 species